rnacentral:rRNA from 1 species
UACGUAGGGGGCAAGCGUUGUCCGGAUUUAUUGGGCGUAAAGAGCGUGUAGGCGGCCAGGUAGGUGGGUUGUGAAAACUGGAGGCUCAACCUUCAGACGUCGACCCAAACCCCCCUGGCUAGAGUCCGGAAGAGGAGAGUGGAAUUCCUGGUGUAGCGGUGAAAUGCGCAGAUAUCAGGAAGAACACCCGUGGCGAAAGCGGCUCUCUGGAACGGUACUGACGCUGAGACGCGAAAGCGUGGGGAGCGAACAGG